CAAGUUACCUCAUCACUGCCGCCGGCGUCCGGCCUCUCGGUACCGCGCCUCACUACAAUCCCUUGGGAUUUGCCUCCCUGCCCUCUUCAUAUUAGGGCCUUCAGCCCUCAGUAAACUUCUAACUUGUUUUCGCCCAUCGUAAUCGAUGCAGAACGAGGUGCUGCCAGAGCUGCCCAAGCCUUGCCUGAUGUGUUGCAAGGAUGGAGACAAGCACGGCAGCUGCUGCUGGAAGCUUCCUCCGUCAGUCCCUUCCCGAGAAGGUCUCUGGAGAUGCGACCUCUCUGCAGAGUCAUCCCUUCUAAACCCAUUUGUACACUGUGCUGCUCCAUGGAUGUGGGAAAGAGGAAGCUCUAGAGGCACUAAAAGGCCAUUCUCUUGCAUAGAUACAGGCAAGCAAUAUCUGUACUCUACCUCUCACAAGUACUCGGGCCCAACAGCACUGUUGUGGUCUGGCUCCAUUGUAUCCGUCUUGCUGUGUGCAUACAGCUUUUUCCUGAGACCGUGUGCUUGCUGGGGUGGGUGUCUGGCAGUCUCCAAAUAGACUUAAACCUAAAGCAGAGAUCUGCAGUAAGAACAAAAUGAUGCUGUCACUGGAUGUGUAGGAAUAAUUUUAAUAAUUGGUUUGGUAUUAAUAUUUGAAAGACAUUGCGCCUUGACUUACACGCAUACCUAAAUAUUUGCAGCAUCAGGCUGAGCCUGAGAGUGGCACAGACAAUAAUCGCAAGUUUGAAGAAGAAAAAUGCCCUCCACCAUAUAAACACCCUUUAACACCUCUCAUUACAUACAUGGAAAGCUUCCAUUUCACUGAAUUGCCCCUUUCCUCGGAUGCUGCUUGGUUAUGAAGCAUCUCAAUUGCAGCUGUACAAAUUCAUGUUUCUGUCCUGUUGCUUCAUAUUCAGGACUAUUGCAAAGGGGUAUUUUGAAAAUGAGAAUUGGGUGCUUGAGAAAAUGUACUUUUCACCUUCAAGAAAAUACCUCUUUUCAAAGCAGAAUUUGUAAGAUUUCUUAUUAAUAGAAGCAUCAAUUCUAACCCUAAUUAAUAAAUGUGUAUGGCAACAUCUCCAGUAGGAGAUUUCUCAGUAAGAAACCAGGACAUUGAUCAAACAUGUAGACUAGGGCAUACACAUAUCCAAGAUCUUAACAUUAAUUUUCACUUUAAGUGUCUACUGUUGUAUAAAAUUGUAGUCUCCCCACCUCAGCUGUCCCACCACAGGGAGGUGGUUGCCAGUGGGGUAAAACCAUGCAGCCAGCAAUCCUGUGGUCUAGAUUUAUCUUUCCCUAUCUGGCAGCAAAAACAACGUAGCAACACAGAUCUUAAGUCUUGCUGAAAAGGUGUGUGUGUUCUUAGGAAAACAAAAAAGAUAGCAAAUAUGGUGCAGGACAGAAAACAUCGCAUAUGCAUAAAGCGAUAUUUAAUUAAUUAAUAUUUACUGUGUAUGCAGAUACAUUUUACCAACAAGUGCAUGAAGAGACUUCCAGUACACUUUGCAAAGUGAAAUUAGUGACAGUAUAGUCCCGCACUUCAUAAAAAGGGCUAAGCUACCUUCUCUGCUUGAAAUAAUCUGUUUUCUGUUGAUUUUAGUGCCAUCUCUAAUGUCUUUCCUCCUAGUAAAAGUGCAUCUCCUCAGACCUGUUUUCCCCUCUUAAGCCUAUAUGUUGGAGAGGGUUGUCAGGAGCUGCUGCAGCAAGAAAGGCUGCAGCUUUGAAAGGCAUCAGUCUCAAAAAUGUAACACUGUGGUCCAAAUUACCAGGGAUGCUUUGAAGAUAGGGUCAUUUUUCAAAUCUCUGGGACAUGCAGGGGGAAAAGAGAAGGCUACCAAAUUGAAAAGGCAGGGAGACAGACAGACUAGGUGACAUGUGACAACUCCUGUGAAUAUGGUUAGUCCCAAUUAAACUGAGACAAACUCUAAAUUGUCAAAGACUGUUCCAAAAGGCAGGGUACCGCCAACCUUUUGAAAGGUCAAGCCAGUGUCUUGGAUUUUGGUUACUGCCCUUUUCCCUUACAUUCAUUCUAUUGGUGGUUUGCUGUUUAUUUUUCUGCAGUCACCAACAUUUUCCUUUGUGGGAUUUAUCCCUCAAAUACUUCUCUCCUCCAUUACAUGCACUCUUUGAAUGCAUGUUCCUGACUGGACUGCUGUGGAACUGCUCCUGGAGGUGUGGUUUCUCGCAGCCCUGGCUCUGCACCUGCACAGGGACCAGGCAGAAGGCCUGGUGGUGGUCAUACUAACACAACUUGUCCCUCCAGGGCAGAGGGAGGCACAUGGCAGUGGGAGGAUCCCCCAGAACUGAGUUAGAAGGAAAAUACAGACAGGAAAGGUGGAUUUGCUUAGUCCUCGCUGCCUGAACUGUUUGCAUUCUGCUUCCCAACCCCAGAAGACACGAGCAGUUAUCAUGACUAGUCCUCCAGUGUGACAGGAUCUUUCUGGGGCACUUGGGUCACUUAGGAACAAAACUGUUCUGAAGGAGAAUUGCAGCACUUUCAAACACUUUUCAGAGCAAAUCCUGAGAGUAAGAAUGGGCCUUCCAAGACUGCCAAGAGCAAAGAGGGGGGGAAAAAAGGGAGGUGGCCCUUUCCUAAGUGCUUACAAACCUCAGUUUUUCUCUUGCUUUUCUCUGCUUCACCCUCUCAGUGCUGCCUGCUUAAGGUGUAGUUUCAAUGGUACCCUAAGCAGCAUCAAGCAGGAAUUACUUGAUAUAUGGGACCAGUUGCCAGUCAGUGGUUGCCAUCCAAGGAGCAAAAAUCAGGUGCACUUUAUUACUUUUUAAAGAACUGUAGGGCUGACUGGCUGGCUGCCCUCCAGUUGCUGAUGCUAGUAAAAUUAUUUGAGUUGCCUAAGCUGGGAUUUCUAGCACUCUUUGCUUUUGGAUGCACAAGCCCACAGACAGCAUUCACAAAUUACUGUUGGGGCAAAGCUGAAUCUACAGUUAUUCUGUGUUGCCGCAAAACUUUCUCAAAAUUCAAGCAGACAACCACCCAACAAAGCUCUCUACAAGGCUCUGUAGCAUCUCCAGAGUGCUUGGCACAGGGAGAUUGAAUUCAGAGAACAGAGACAGAGGGGUAGAUUAGGCAAUAUAUCCCAUAGAUUUUUGGACCAGACUGUGCUCGCUUUCUGUGGAAACCCAAACAACCUGCCUCUGUGUAUGUUUUCCAGAUGAUGGUCACAUUAAACCCCAUACAGUACCCCUGUCUUUAUAAUUCAUUAUUAAAACCUCGGGAGAGAAUGGGACCCUCCAAACUGGCUAAAUAGAACAGACGAGGUUCUGAGAGAGGAGCAGGUUGUAGCAUUUAAUGGGAUGGUGACUGAUUGCUGCUUUUCCUUUCUCCUGGCAUUCUACCUUAAACUGCUUGACAGAUAAAAUAACAUGCAAGCAUUCCGGCAGGUUGCAGGAAAGUGGGUGCCUGCAAAACCCAGGAUAUAUACUGACUGUGCCCAGAUUCCUGCAGAGCCCUUCUCCACACAUGAAUAAAACAAGCACUUGGGGCUGCGCCUGCAGGCUCAGCAAAUGGCACUGUCCCCACCGUGGGCAUCUCGGGCCCCACACCAUGCCUAACAAUCAGCUGCAGCUGAUACAGAGGAACAUGGUCAGGACAGAGGGAUCCCAGUAUUCUACCGUGAGGAUGCUGGGCUGAUUCCAUUCCGCUUCGAGAAGGGGCUUGAAGCUAUGCCUCCUAUGCAUGAGCACCCCUGUGCUCCUCAUCUUAAUCCCUGCUCCCAGCUAAGGAGCUCCAUCUCAGCAGGAAUCCAACGCCAACCCCACCUCCCUGCCACCCCUUUGCAGUUCUGGGCGUCAAACUGCAUACACUGAUCACAUCUGGCUGUGCUGCCACCUCCCGAGAGAAAGCAGCAUCCUGGCUUCAGCUCAGAGGGAAGGAAACGUUCCAGAGCCGGGCUCCCAGCCUGCACGGAGGGCCCCGGGCAAGCCGGGACUCCAGGGACCGCCGGCAGCCUGGGGAGGCAAACGUGGGCCCAAGAUCGCCGCACCCCUGGGUCAGCUGCAGCCUGGGAACCUCUGUUACUCACAAGGCUGAAGAAGCAGAAGGCACAAGUGGAUCUCCAAAACAUCAGUGGACAGAAGAACCAUUUGAGGCAGUGAGCUUUCACUGAUCUGAGCACAGAAGUUCCCCAAUUCUGACAGCCACAGGAAAUGCAGGAAAUAGGAGCAAGCAGAGAAGGAAGUGGAUGAACAGCUUUCACUCCAUUAAGUGUAUCUCCCUUGGGUUCUCUGUUCAAGCUGGAAAGAAAGUUCUCGAAAAACUUGGAUGGCACAUUUGGGACUUACCUACAACACAACAAUGGUUUGUUUGCAGUGGCUUAAUUUAAAUUGGAUUUCACAUCAAUUCGUUGAACAGCUGAGGAACCCCAUGUGGACACACUUAUUUGCCUUAAGAAUUGUCUAAAAUCUGUUCCAAAUUGAUUUAAGCUUCACUGAUCAGAUUUAAAUAUAUACUUAAAAGGUCAACACCACCUUUUGCAUUGAUUUAAUGAAAUGAUAUUGAAAGCAAUGCUUGAGUAAACUGGUGCAGCUCUGUGUAAAAGCUGUCUGAAUUAGUGUAAUAUGGAUUGUCAAAAAAUGGAGAAACAUUUCUCCUCCUCGAAGUUUGCAAAUUCAAUCUCUUGAUUGAGUGCUAGCAAGAUGGAGGCUGAUGAAUCUCUCCUCUGAUGGAGCCUCAUAUUGAUUUUAUCAUUAGAUAUACAAAGCAAAAGGCUAAUUUAGUAAUAGGCAUGUUUCAUGCCUGCCUUUCAUGGUGUUGAUCUAAACACUUCAUAUAUACACUUUAGCUCAAAAGCACAUAAAUUCCUUCUUCAAUAUGAAAUUUCAAAAUGUGGAUGUGUUUUUGAAAUUAUGAGCUUUAAAAAUGUCUUGAGGUAAAUCUAGGUAGCUAUGAUCUUAAAAAAUAUUUAGAGAAAUAAUGGCAUGAAAGAAUUACUUAUAUCAGGAGCCUAUUCCACUGUUUAACAGGUGCAGAUAUCCAUCACAAAUUAAGCCUCAUUUGUGCUGAGUGGUUGAAUUGCUGAGGAAUCACUUUAUUGGUAUGUGAAACAUCUACUAUGUAUAGCUGGACAGAUUCCCAGGAAUUCCAAUGAAACACAUUAAUGCACAAGAGAAAACAUCCUUCCUCAUAAGACUUAUGAAAUCAUAAGCUUUGCUCCUCUCAGUA